GUCGUACUCGCUCUGAUACGAUUGGUACGAAGUAAUCAGAGUAAUCAAAGUAGAUACAAUAGUCGUUACUCGCUCUGAUACGAUUGGUACGAAGUAACGAAGUCAUCAGAGUAAUCAAAGUAAUCAAAGUAGAUACAAUAUUCGUUACUCGCUCUGAUACGAUUGGUACGAAGUAAUCAGAGUAAUCAAAGUAACGAUGUGCCUCUCUGUAUAGUAAUCGUUACUUUCGGUAUUCGUAAGUAACGAGUACUUUGUAACGAAUAGUUACUUUUUCAACAUCACUAUCUGGCUGCUGAUUCGAACUGUUUCAUGUAGUUGUUACAUGAAUAUUUUCCGUCGAAAGUUGGAACUUUAACACGAACAGAACCUUCCACUCCCUUCAUGUCGGCUGUGGCUCACAAUUUAAAUUUGACCUCUUCGUCUUUUGUCUCUGUUAAAACGGGUUUCACUCCUCUGUCUACUGCCCUGAUAAGUUAGAAUUUGUGAAUUUCGGUUUUGUUAUCCAAAGUUGUGUUUAGUAAUUCUAUGAUCUGCACUUUUACAAGCAUGAUAAAAAUAUUCCUAACUUACUGGGUUAUAUACCGUUUCAUUCUAAAAAGGUAUUGCCUUUUAGAAAUGUAUAUUUUCUUCACAAUAAUAAAAGGUAAUAAAAACAAAAAAAAUCGGCUGUUUAGUACGGCUGUUGAGUAAAAGAUAUGUUUAGCAGGUAGCAGAUGCAGAUACAGUUGUAGACAUUUAAAUAAAAAACAAUGUCAUAGCAUAAAUUUGACCGCUAUUAUUAAAAGUUUCGUAAUUAUAGAUCACUUUUGAAUUGAUGCAGUUAUUCUAGAGGGUUUUGCCACAAUCACUUAAUAAACUUAUUUAAUAUUAACUUAUACUUUUGACUAUGAUUCCGUAGUGCGAAUGUAGGAUUUGUUAUUAAAUAACAAUAUAAAUAACUUUUUUUUAUGUAGCUAAUGCCUCGACAACUAAGGGCCAUUUGCAUGGAUAAAUAACUUUAAUGCAAAUUUUGUAUUAAAGUUCUUAAAUUUCUUAGUCAUUGUUUUCUAGUUUUUAUAGAUCGUGGUCUGGAGUUAUUGUUAACCUCAUAGCU